rnacentral:rRNA from 1 species
AUUGAACGCUGGCGGCAGGCCUAACACAUGCAAGUCGAACGAGUGGCGGACGGGUGAGUAAUGUCUGGGAAACUGCCUGAUGGAGGGGGAUAACUACUGGAAACGGUAGCUAAUACCGCAUACCAUCGGAUGUGCCCAGAUGGGAUUAGCUAGUAGGUGGGGUAAAGGCUCACCAAGGCGACGAUCCCUAGCUGGUCUGAGAGGAUGACCAGCCACACUGGAACUGAGACACGGUCCAGACUCCUACGGGAGGCAGCAGUGGGGAAUAUUGGACAAUGGGCGAAAGCCUGAGCCAGCCAUGCCGCGUGUGUGAAGAAGGUCUUCGGAUUGUAAAGCACUUUUGGUUGAGAGGCGUUACCCGCAGAAUAAGCACCGGCUAACUACGUGCCAGCAGCCGCGGUAAUAC